GUGGCGAACGGGUGAGUAACACGUGGGCAAUCUGCCCUUCACUCUGGGACAAGCCCUGGAAACGGGGUCUAAUACCGGAUAACACUCUGUCCCGCAUGGGACGGGGUUAAAAGCUCCGGCGGUGAAGGAUGAGCCCGCGGCCUAUCAGCUUGUUGGUGGGGUAAUGGCCUACCAAGGCGACGACGGGUAGCCGGCCUGAGAGGGCGACCGGCCACACUGGGACUGAGACACGGCCCAGACUCCUACGGGAGGCAGCAGUGGGGAAUAUUGCACAAUGGGCGAAAGCCUGAUGCAGCGACGCCGCGUGAGGGAUGACGGCCUUCGGGUUGUAAACCUCUUUCAGCAGGGAAGAAGCGAAAGUGACGGUACCUGCAGAAGAAGCGCCGGCUAACUACGUGCCAGCAGCCGCGGUAAUACGUAGGGCGCAAGCGUUGUCCGGAAUUAUUGGGCGUAAAGAGCUCGUAGGCGGCUUGUCACGUCGGAUGUGAAAGCCCGGGGCUUAACCCCGGGUCUGCAUUCGAUACGGGCUAGCUAGAGUGUGGUAGGGGAGAUCGGAAUUCCUGGUGUAGCGGUGAAAUGCGCAGAUAUCAGGAGGAACACCGGUGGCGAAGGCGGAUCUCUGGGCCAUUACUGACGCUGAGGAGCGAAAGCGUGGGGAGCGAACAGGAUUAGAUACCCUGGUAGUCCACGCCGUAAACGUUGGGAAACUAGGUGUUGGCGACAUUCCACGUCGUCGGUGCCGCAGCUAACGCAUUAAGUUCCCCGCCUGGGGGAGUACGGCCGCAAGGCUAAAACUCAAAGGAAAUUGACGGGGGCCCGCACAAGCAGCGGAGCAUGUGGCUUAAUUCGACGCAACGCGAAGAACCUUACCAAGGCUUGACAUAUACCGGAAAGCAUCAGAGAUGGUGCCCCCCUUGUGGUCGGUAUACAGGUGGUGCAUGGCUGUCGUCAGCUCGUGUCGUGAGAUGUUGGGUUAAGUCCCGCAACGAGCGCAACCCUUGUUCUGUGUUGCCAGCAUGCCCUUCGGGGUGAUGGGGACUCACAGGAGACUGCCGGGGUCAACUCGGAGGAAGGUGGGGACGACGUCAAGUCAUCAUGCCCCUUAUGUCUUGGGCUGCACACGUGCUACAAUGGCCGGUACAAUGAGCUGCGAUGCCGCGAGGCGGAGCGAAUCUCAAAAAGCCGGUCUCAGUUCGGAUUGGGGUCUGCAACUCGACCCCAUGAAGUCGGAGUUGCUAGUAAUCGCAGAUCAGCAUUGCUGCGGUGAAUACGUUCCCGGGCCUUGUACACACCGCCCGUCACGUCACGAAAGUCGGUAAC
rnacentral:rRNA from 1 species